CGUGCCGUUAAGUCGGUUAACGAGCGAGACCCGUGCCCCAUGUUGGUACCGGACUCUCCGGAGUCCGGCCACUCAUGGGGGACUGCCCGCGAUAAGUGGGAGGAAGGUACGGGCGACGGUAAGUCCGUAUGCCCCAGUCCCCUGGGCUGCACGCGCGACACAAUGGGCGCUACAGUGGGAUGCGACCCCGAAAGGGGAAGCAAAUCCCCUAAAAGCGUCCAUAGUUCGGAUCGAGGGCUGGAACUCGCCCUCGUGAAGCCGGAAUCCCUAGUAGGCGAAGGUUAGCAACCUUCGCCGAAUACGUCCCUGCCCCUUGCACACACUGCCCGUCAAGCCAACCGAGUGGAGCUGGGGUGAGGCCCCUCGUGAUUUCGAUCAUGGGGGGACGAACCUCGGUUCCGCGAGGGGGGCUAAGUCGUCACAAGGUAGCCGUACGGGAACGUGCGGCUGGAUCACCUCCUUCGCCAGA
rnacentral:rRNA from 1 species